CCCUUAGAUGUCCUGGGCCGCACGCGCGUUACACUGAUGCAUUCAACGAGCUUAUAACCUUGGCCGAGAGGCCUGGGCAAUCUUGUUAACGUGCAUCGUGAUAGGGAUAGAUUAUUGAAAUUAUUAAUCUUGAACGAGGAAUUCCUAGUAAACGCAGAUCAUCAAUCUGCAUUGAUUACGUCCCUGCCCUUUGUACACACCGCCCGUCGCACCUACCGAUUGGAUGGUCCGGUGAAGCCUCGGGAUUGUGUUCUUGCCGCUUUAUUGUGGCGUGACCGCGAGAACUUGUCUAAACCUUAUCAUCUAGAGGAAGGUGAAGUCGUAACA
rnacentral:rRNA from 1 species